CCGAUAUUCUAGACUAUCGUUUCUAGUUUUUUUUUUUCCUGAAAUCGCAUACACCAAUUGUUGUGUUCAAUUUCUACAUUUCAAAGUACCAAUCUCUUGUAAUCGGAGAUUUCAUCAACUUCGUAGUGGCCUUACAGUGUAGCCACCCCACUACCACAAUUUCUUAAUAGCAUAAUCGGGAAUAAAUAAUAUGUUUGAAAUCCAAAAUCGAAAGGAAUACAAAUCCAAUUUCGUAAUAGUUAGUAGAGCAGAAAGAUACCUAAAAAGCGAUUUCAGUCCGUUGCUAAAGUUAUGAAGAAAAAAUGGCGUCCUUGUGGUCUAAUUUUGGAAUAUGUUGGCUGUCGGAUUUCAAUGAUGAAAAUAGGGCGAUGAUGAAGAAGAGGUAAAAUAACUAAUUUCGUUUUUAUAGAAUAUGAGAUUCAAUGUACUCCCUGUAUUUAUUAUUUGAAUUUUGAUUGUAUUUCAAAAUUGAAUCUUGAUUUGUUCUCUUAAAUCUAUGUAUUAUUUUCAAAUAAUGAGAUUUUAAUGUUGGUGCCUACAACAGUGAACAUAUGAUGGGGGUGUAAAAUUAGGUUUCUUAAUUUGAAUGAAAAUUGUUAUGUUUUGGUGUAAGCUUGCUAAGAUAAAUAACCAAUUAGUGUAUUAGGCAAAAUUUUAGUGGUAUUUUGGUUGAGAAGUUAUAUGUAUGAAAUGAAAUAGUUGUUUAUUUGAUUAUAUGUGUGUAAGCAUAUUGAGCAAAGUGGAAUGUUGUGUAGGAGACAGUGGAAUUGAAAAAAAAAAUUAUUAUAUCUAUAUGAAAGUGGAAUGCUAUAAGAGACAUACAGUUGAAAGAACAUUAAUAUUUUAAGGAAUACAAGUUAAAAUAGUAAAAGUAAAAUGUGCUCAAUAUAGCGAGAUUUUUUUUCUUUGAUUUGAACAUGUGUUUGUGUGUUUGUAAGAUGUAAUGAAAGUAUAUUGCAAUUAGAAAGUAUAUGAACAAAAAAGUAAAAGAAACAGUUAAAUUACAUUGUAAUAUAUUUUUCAAUAUUUUGAUAGCAUUGUAUAUUCAUACUUUUUUUUAUAUAUAUAAAAAACACAUUUACAAUAAUGUAUGUUUUGUUAUUGUAGCAGCAAAUCUCCAUAAUCAUAAAGCAUGAUGGUGGUUAUUGAGUCGAGUGUUGAAGAGUAUGUUGCAUUCAACAACAGCUUAGAGAAUCUCACAUGAUUUCUUUUCACAUCUUAUGAAAGGUAUGUCAUUUCCACAAAUAUAUUAAAAUCCAUCAAUCCAGCAUAGUAAACAAUUAUAUUAUUAAAAGUACAAUGGUAUACUUAGUAUUUAAAGUAACUGCAUGAAUUUUUAAUAACUUAAUGGAAAAACAAAAGAAAACCAUAUGCAAGAUUACCAAUUCAUCAUAUAAAACCAUUAUUUUUGAACAUUUGGUGUCAAAACCUUCAUCUUCUCUUCAUUUUCUGUUGAAAUGCACAAUGAUUUUGUUACAUUCACGACAUCAAAAACUAUCAAACUUACAGUUUUCUUUUUAAAAAUACAAUAUAAAAGGGCAUAUUUGUCAUUUUUAUAAUAUAAAAGGGCAUAGUUGUCAUUUUCUAAUAUAAAAGGGCAGACUUGUCAUUUCUAAUAUAAAGGGGCAGAAUUAUCAUUUUGUACCUAAAUCAUAAUCAAAAAAUAUAUAACCGACAGAAAUUGAUAAAUGACAGUAUUUCUAUUAAAAUGACAUAUUUGUCACUUUUAUAAUAUAAAAGGGCAGAAUUGCAUUUUCUACCUAAAUGAUAGCUUGAAUUUAUAUUUGAUAGUAAAAAACAUAAUAAAAAAUAUAGCCAACAAAAAAUAAACAAUUGCAGUUUUUCUAUUAAAAGGGCAUAUUUGUCAUUUUUAUAAUAUAAAUAUAAAAGGGCAUAGUUGUCAUUUUCUAAUAUAAAAGGGUGGAGUUGUCAUUUUCUAAUAUAAAAGGGCAGAAUUGUAAAUAUUGUUAUGUUUUAGGAAGCCGAUCUAUUUCAACCACUCUGAAUGGAUUUGCAAUAAUCAGUUUGAAAUAAAUUAUAGAAAUGGUCCUGUUUGGUUUUUUCUCUUUAGCAUUGUACUUAAGUAUAAGCUAAAUUCUCUAUAUUUCAUAAUAGCAUCCUAUUUUAAAAUGGUGGAAGUCACCAAAUUUACAGAAAAUUGUCACUGUUUAAAUAAAUUUACAGAAAAAGUCCCUGUACAAAGUAAAAUUUCAUAAUAGAAAAUUAAGGUAAACUGCAAUUGACAUAAAAGAUACAUGACUGCUUUCAUUGAAAUCUUGAGCAUAAUAUGCUACUAUGCUUAUAGUUAUAGACGAAUCAAUGUUUGUUCAUAUACUUUAACUUAAUUUAUUUAACGUGAAUGCCUAUAAGAUAUUACAUACACAAAGGAACAAACAUAAAUACACAUAUAUGUUUAUACGAUGGUACAUAAGAAGUUGAAAGAGGAGUAGAAGAUAUAAAUAAUCAAAAUAAGGAAAAAAAUCGGCAUAGUUGUUUAAAGGAUGCUUUACCAGAAUUACACAGAUGAAGAAGUAGAUAUGAAACAAAUUAGAGAAAGGACAAAUGUUGGAAAAAAAUUUAGGGGUUUGGGAUUUAUAGGUACAAUGAAUAUGUGAAGAUGAUAUUGUGAUCAUGAUUGCAUUCCUAUUAUGAUUGCUAUAAAUUUGGUAAAAAAAAUUAAAGAAUUAAAAAUUAUUGUUGAUUAUAUGGGAUAUUGUUGAUUUCAUUCCUUUAUGUAAUCUGUUAAUUACAUAUCGGACCCUAAAUUUACAAAAUCACAACAACAUAGUUUUAAGUCCCAACAGAAAGUUAUUAAUUACAUAUUGGACCCAAAAUUUAGAAAAUCAUAGCAAAAUAGUCUUAAUUACAUAUUUUAAAGUGUUUUUUUUUUCAUUAAUCACAACAACAUAGUUUCAAAGUAUAUUGCUAUAAUUUAAAAAAAAAAUUAAAAAAAGGACACCAAUAUAACAACAUUUACGCCUGCUUAGUUUUCGGUUAUUUUUAAUAGUGUUGAAAGGUGAGGGGUAAAAGAGUCAUUUACUUCCAAAAAAACUUCGUUUACUUUUCAAAAAGAGUUGCAACUUUAUAUGAAGUUAAAAAGACAAAAAUAACAAUGUUUCAUAAUAAAUGGACCAAAAUGCCCUUUUCCUAUUUUUCUACUGUUUAAUAUCACAACUGGAUGUCAUUAUGGGUUAUAAUGUUUUUAAAACAUAUAAGUCUAAUAAAUGGACCAAAAUACCCUUUCUGCAUAUAAUCACAACAACAUAGUUUCAAAGUAUAUUGCUAUAAUUUUAAAAAAAAAUUUAAAAUGGACAACAAUAUAACAACAAUUACAACUGCAUAGUUUUCGCUUUAUUUUUAAUAGUGUUGUAAGGUGAGGGGUAAAGGAGUCAUUUACUUCCAAAAAGAACUUUCAAUUUUUGAUAAAACAGUCAUUUACUUUUCAAAAAGAGUUGCAUCUUUUUAAUGAAAAAAAAUAAAAAUUUGGUCUAAACUGUCAUAUUGGCCAAAUGUACUUAAAAAGAGUUGCAGAUAAGAAGAUAUGUUUUCUUUUACUGAUUUAAAUCAGGAACCACAACAGAUAAAACAUACCUUCAAAGAAAGGUUUUUAGAAAAAAGAAAGUAUGUUAAAGUAUUUCAGAACAAUGUUAUAAAUAUUGGUUUAUGAAGAUGAACUAACCAAAUUUGUUAUGUUGUCUCUUCUGCAGAAAUAGUAUUGUUGAAGAUGAGAAAGCACAAUAAAACUCGACAAAGGGAAGGAAUGUGGAGGACGUGUUGAUGAUAAUGAAAUAUAAAUGGAGUCAAAAUAUUAAUUUCAAGUUGCUGAUUUUUUGGGAUUUCAUUGAAAUUUUGAAAAGAGUCAAAAUAAGAGAGGAUUUUUUACCAAACAAAUCAAACGUGAAUUGCUGUUGUUUUCAAAAAGCAUGGAAUUUAAAUUUAAAUUUAAAUGUUAUAAGAAACCCAAAAAUGCAAUAAGUUGAAAAAAAAAUCAGGAUUACAAUUUAAUUUUAAUGUAAUUUAAUUUUAAUAAGAAUAAGAAUUAUUCAUAAAAUGACACGUGGCAUGUUAGAAUGGUA
rnacentral:lncRNA from 1 species